ACCCCCCCCCCCCAAAAAAAAAAAAAACUUGAGUGUGCAAAGCAGCUCGUGUCUUACUUUCGGACUCUCAUGGCCUCUUCAUUGUCGGGACGGAAGAAGUUAUAGGAGCUGUACUGCUUCACGACCUCACGCCGGUACUCUCCCACGUUGAACAC